rnacentral:rRNA from 1 species
AUUGAACGCUGGCGGCAUGCUUUACACAUGCAAGUCGAACGGUAACAGGCCUUCGGGCGCUGACGAGUGGCGAACGGGUGAGUAACGCAUCGGAACGUGCCCAGUCGUGGGGGUAACGCAGCGAAAGCUGUGCUAAUACCGCAUACGAUCUGCGGAUGAAAGCGGGGGACCUUAGGGCCUCGCGCGAUUGGAGCGGCCGAUGUCAGAUUACGGUAGUUGGUGGGGUAAAGGCCCACCAAGCCAACGAUCUGUAGCUGGUCUGAGAGGACGACCAGCCACACUGGGACUGAGACACGGCCCAGACUCCUACGGGAGGCAGCAGUGGGAAUAUUGGACAAUGGGCGCAAGCCUGAUCCAGCCAUGCCGCGUGAGUGAAGAAGGCCUUCGGGUUGUAAAGCUCUUUGUCAGGAGAACAG